rfam:Haemonchus contortus, ISE/inbred ISE, WGS project CAVP01000000 data, contig: Hcontortus_36245
GGCCCAAACUUGAGGUAGAUUCGUUCAGUGAGGUCAGCCAAUCCUACUGAUCUACUCUACUUCGAAUUUGGGCCU